GAUGAACGCCAGCGGCAGGCCUAACACAUGCAGGUCGAGGGGUAGAAGUUACUUGUAACUUUGAGACCGGCCCACGGGUUCGUAACGCGUAUGCAAUCUACCUUUUACAGAGGGAUAGCCCAGAGAAAUUUGGAUUAAUACCCCAUAGUAUCUUUGCCUGGCAUCGGGUGAUUAUUAAAUUUCCAACGGUAAAACAUGCGCAGGCGUCGUAUUAGCUAGAUGGUAAGGUAACGGCUUACCAUGGCAACGAUAGGUAGAGGUCCUGAGAGGGAGAUCCCCCACACUGAGACUGAGACACGGACCAGGCUCCUACGGGAGGCAGCAGUGAGGAAUAUUGGACAAUGGGCGCAAGCCUGAUCCAGCCAUGCCGCGUGCAGGAAGAAGCAUCUAUGGUGUGUAAACUGCUUUUGUACGGGAAGAAACACUCCUACGUGUAGGAGCUUGACGGUACCGUAAGAAUAAGGAUCGGCUAACUCCGUGCCAGCAGCCGCGGUAACAC
rnacentral:rRNA from 1 species